UUAAUCGUUCUGCAGUUCGUGGAGAAUGGACCCCGGUGUUAUUGCUGGCUCAGCAGUGUGGUUACACUUUGGACAGACGAGAUACAGAAAUAUUAAUAGCUGCUCCGUUCAUAACAUGCGGUAUCACGGUAGAGGAUGGAAAACACACACUUCAUCUUCAGAUUGACGAGGGUACAUUUAUCUUGACCUGCCCUAUCUUUCCUGAAGAGACUGGAAAGUCUCUCGGAUGGGCUCCACCUUUUUACCUGGCACCUCCUUACUACCCUCACCCAACUUAUCGGCACAGGAUUCCCGGCCCUACCCCUCCAGCGACAUCUCCUGCUGUCAAAUCGUCACCUCCUGAACCCAUCACUACUCCAACCUCAUCUGGAUCAACAGAUGCCGAAAUUUCACAUUUGCAAGGAGUGUCCAAACAGCCUGUUACUGCUGGCUCACCGGUUCAAGAUGCCACUUCCCAACCUCCAAGCAACCAUCACCCCAAAAUCCCUCAAUCUAACCCCACUGAAGAUUCUGAUCCGAGCCUGUCGCUCAAAUACUCCAACAUAUUUGCAGAGUUUUUCCGCCAAAAUCAACAAUCUGAAGCGGCAUCAUCUCAAUCCCUACAAUAUAAUCCAUAUUACUAUUAUUCCCCUUUUCCAUAUAUUCCAGCCCUGGACUCGGAUCCCUCUUUUGGGGAGCCAGAUAAAAAUGGGAAAUUUGAUGACCUUCUAGAAUCAGACAGUCCUCCCAUGGCAUCUUAUUUUGUGGAAUCUUCCUUUCCUGCCCCUCAUGUAUUCCCCUCCUACCCUUAUGACUACUAUCAAACGUAUCCUGUGGCUCCGCCCCCUAACAAACCUGUUGACCCACUUUCUCAGCACCCACCUAAACGUUCUGAAUUCCAACAAACAAAGAUGGAUGAUGUUCAAGAGGUCAAUGCUCAUCCUAACCAUCUCGGUUUUUUGGGUCAGCUAGUACAUCCAUAUGACGUUUUGGAGCGUGGUGACUAUGAAGAGGACAAGCUUGAUGAAAUAAUCGACUCUGGAUUAGGACCUCAAUUUUUCCUUUUGAAACCUAACUCUUUGGAGCUCCCAACCUCAGAGGUCAAUGUGUCCUGCUCACUGCAGAUGAUGAUGACCUCUGACCCUGACAUUUACAUGGUGGUCCCGGACGACUGAUGCAAGAAACCACCAAUAAAGAUGCAAAAGGUAUU